UUUUUUUUUUUUUUUUUUCAGAGAGUCUUUAUAUAAAUGCUUAUGCUUUUUAAGUUGGUUAAUUUCUGCCACAUAUAUAUAGAGUGCUAGGAUGCUUUUUAGAGAGCUUUUGCAUGAAGACUUAUGCUUAUGUAUUAUGCUGAAUUUUCUGAUUUUCUAAUUUAUUAUAUGCUUCUAUUAUUUAAUCAUGUGAUGUAUAUAAUAUGCAAGCUAUUUGACUUAGAAAAACAGUUAAUUAAUCACCUGUUGCUUAAAGUUAGGCCUACUUAAAUCGAUUGAAUUAAGCUUCAUUUCCAUCGUAUUAGGAGGAGGAUAGUAAAUAUCACCAGUCAUAGUUUUUAUUGUUUGAUUAAAAAACGUAGUAGAUUUAUCU
rnacentral:misc_RNA from 1 species